UACGUAGGGUGCAAGCGUUAUCCGGAUUCACUGGGUUUAAAGGGUGCGUAGGAGGGCAGGUAAGUCAGUGGUGAAAUCUCCAAGCUUAACUUGGAAACUGCCGUUGAUACUAUCUGUCUUGAUACCGUGGAGGUGAGCGGAAUAUGUCAUGUAGCGGUGAAAUGCUUAGAUAUGACAUAGAACACCAAUUGCGAAGGCAGCUCGCUACACGAAUAUUGACUCUGAGGCACGAAAGCGUGGGGAUCAAACAGG
rnacentral:rRNA from 1 species